ACCAUUAGAAUGUAUUCAUGCACGUUUUUCCUUGUUUUUCUACAUAAUGUUCAUCUUACACCGUACUCUUUUCUCUUGCUGGUGGUUUCUGUGGUCGGAUUGGUCAAUUUAAUGCACUAGGCGACGAUAAUUUGGAUAAAAUGUGCAUAUAUUUAGUGAACUGACUAAAUGAGAUGACAUUCCUUUAAAACAAAAAGAUAAAAAUAGCACACCAGCAAGAAUUCACAUUGACAAAUCAACGCUCCGCAGACCUCUAGAUUAGCGAGAUAACUUUGGUGCUAGAGAGGUCUAGUUGUUUCAAUGAUACAUAUACAACUUGAUAAUAAUAGCAUCUGAAAAUAAAAAUAUGUAUCACAUCAUUUAGUAUAGUAGAGAAACAAAAGAAUGUUCUAUGUGUGCAGACAAAAACGUGGAUAGCCACAUCAUCCCAGUUUCCACAAAUGAAACCAGUUUUCGCAAAACUAAAUUAUUCAACUAAUGAGAAACAUCACAAUGAAGCGAAAUAUCAAGCACAAAGACAACUAAGUCAUUUCUCAUGUCACCCUGAAUUUCUCUUCACACAGGCAACCCAAGUUUUUUUAUUAACAACUCAAUUGAGCCACCAACCAUUGAAGCGAAAUAUCAAGCACAACCUACAAAUAAACCAAGAAUAGCAUUACUCGGAAGAUAAAAAGAAAUUUUGGGAUACAAUAAAAUUUUUUUUGGAUGAAGCAAUAUAUUUAUCAUGACUAAUCUUUAAAAGGAAUCAAGAGGACCAAAUAGACCAAAAAAGAAAAAAAGGACAUAUAUUGGUCGUAGUUAUGAACAUAAGUGUGAUAAAGCUAAUAAAUAUAUAUAUGGCACUGGAUGAGACAAUAGAAAAUUGAUCUUGAAGCUUAUGAGCAGGUACCAUUUCCCAAAAUCCACUUAGAAACAGAAUCAAGCAUUCGAAAAAUCCAUGCUUUCCCAAGAAAUAAAAAAAUCUGAAAUUCCUUCCUCCCAUGACUUUAUAAAUAAAACUUCCAUCUUAAGUGAAAAGUUAUCAUACAGACAAACCACGUAGUAUCAUGAACAUUUGUAUAUUAAAUACAUAACACAAAAACAAAAAAUAAAAAAUAAUAAGUUAGUCAAAAAUUCUUAUUAAUGUUAAACACUCUCAGUGAAACUGGGCCCUCACUUGGCCGAUCAAGAAGCUUCUGAAUUCUAUCCUCCCGUUUUCGUUUAUGCCUUUUGCUUUUGUACUUGAACUCCAGAAGAUCCUGAGCAGUCUUAAUCCCAAAGUAUAAAUUUAGGCCUCCAACUCUUUCAUGAAGAGUCAAGCCUCACUUUCAUCACAUACUUUAUAAACUCUGGUUUUUACUACCACAAAAUUGUAUGGAGAGAGCUUAUCUUUAUUAUUUUUAAAAAAAGCUCAACUGACAUAUUUACUCUUCAACUUGGUCACAAUCUAUUAAUUCCACAAAACUUAGUAUUUUUAUUUGUGUAUGAGCAAAAGCAAUUCAAUUACACUAAGUAAUGAUACCUGAGGAUGAAAAUCUUGAAAUUCUAUUGAGAGAUGUGCUUUUUGUUCAUAUAGACCAGACACGUGUUUCCAUCAUUGCUCACCUAAGAAUUCAGAAUAAACCAGCAGGAAAAAUCAGCAAGUAAAAAAUUGAAUGAUUUUUAGUUGAAGAUAGUAAAUAACAAAGUUUAUUAAGAAUAGUACUUGCAUAUAACUUAAUAUUAACCUUCUCUUGUUAGUUGCAGCAAUUCGCCCACAAAGAGAGAAUCAUGUUCAUACAUAUCCGUAUGGAAAAUAUCAGACUUCCACCAUACUUAAUUUUGCCACAUUAACUUACAGAUGCAAUCCUCCUUGCUUCAUUUGUAACCAAAGCUUUAAUAGAAGAGUAGUUUCUUCUCUCGAAGCUCUUCAGUCAUAGAAAAAUGGCUAUUGAUAAUAAACAUGGGUAUCAAUAACUAAAAUUCACUUGAAAAUAACAACUGACUAAAUAUGCAGCUGUCACAAUUGUAGCUAUUAGUUCGAUAAGAUCACUGGUACUAUUUGCAUAACAACAUUUUUUGAAAAAGAAUUAGUUGCAGUAUUAGAGUCAAUCCACCAGACUAUUCCAAACUAAUUCAACUUAUAAAUACAUAUAUUAACAAGUUCUCUUAGUUUGUUUAGCUUGUCAAGUUACAACAUCAAAAUAGACUUUUAGGCAAAACAAUGAAACCCCAUAUCCUUAAUAUAUCAUAUAGCGGUUGGGAUUUCUAUUCAGAUGUAGGCCAUAAGAUGUAAAAGAAGGGAAGAAAAGGGGAAGAAUAGUCCUAACUUUUCCUUUUACGGUUAGAGUUCGAAAAGUAUGUAAUAGAAACAGCUCUCACAAUCAUACCAGGUUUACAAAUUGCAUUUAGAAGUACUGAGUAUGAAACAACAUUGAGAGAUAUCAUUCAAGCAUUUCCUCAAAGAAGGGUGCAACUUUUAAGUGACCCCGUUAUGUAUAUCCCUUCUGUUAACAUUGUAUAUGCAAUGUAAUUAAGAGAUUAAGGUUGUAUCUGUUAGAAAGGGCAUAGAAACAAGCACUUGGAAGAAGUCUCUUACUCUUUCUCUUCAGUUGUACCCUGUAAGAAGUCUGAUGCAACACAUAUUACCUUUUGUAAAAUGAAGUCUCUUGUAGCAUACAAUACAUUAACUUCAAUAUACUUUUAGUGUUAAUUACCUUCUCAAUUUCUAAUUGUGUGUUUGUCACUCUGGUAGUUUCAAGUUCUAAUGAUACACUAUGAUUAUUUGCAUUUCUUGAAGAUCUUUCAACUUUUUAUUUUUCAUACUUUCUACUCCCAAAUUGAACCAUAAAGGAGAAAUAUAAUGCAUAAACAGCUUUCAGAUAAGUAGAUGGUGAUGCAUUAAAAGUGAAAACAUACUUUUAAAACAACCAAGAAAUGUGGAAUGAAAUCUUAGCAGCUUUCCUUUCAUCAUCUGCAACUACCUCUUUAGUGCCACCAGGACAUGUGAGUUGAAACUUCUGCAGGUUUUCUUUCAUCAUCUGCAAGUAUUUCUUUAGUAAAAAUUUUUUUUGAUUCACAUCUCCAAGAUGGGUGUGAUAUUUGAAAGCUAAGUAGCAUUUGGGUCCUUGAAACGUAAUAUGAAAACUAGAAAUAAUAGAAAUAGGAAAUAAAAUAUUAAAUCAUGAAACCAAACAGAAUUCUACACUCGUUAAGUUUUAUCAAUUUUUCUUCUAUGUCUAUCAAAAAAUUGAUGUUUUUUAAGCUUUUAUUAUUUGGUUUGCCACAAUGAAGUUUUAAACAAAACAAUCAUAUCGUGCGUGUUUGCAAGCUCGCAACCUUCUACACAGUCUAUUCUUGCUGCUUUUGCCGACAAUAGCUAAUGUAUAUUAGUAUAUUAAGGGUGCAAGUUGAUGGGAAUAAUGCUUUCUCCUCUAUCUUUUUCGGUUAAACUAUAUAGAUUCAAGAACUAAUCACAAAUUUGUGGCCUUUAUGAUUUUAAAAAUCCCGUACUCUGCAUUGAUUACACAUUGAAAACCAAUUAAGCCCAUUAUGCAACUCCUGAAAAAUAUUUUCCUAGUUAAAAUAAUAAAAUAAAGGAAGUAAAAAUAAGAAGCUGCCAUUUCGGAUCAUGGAUUAACUUCAAACCUCAUUCAACAGGAGGUUUGGAAGAAAAAUCAAAAGAGAAACAACGGAAAACGCAAAACUUGGUGAGGAAAAGAACCGGACUAUAAGAGCAUUUGCUUUGAUCAGCACAGAUACUAAGCAAGCAGUAGCGCACAACUUUAUCCCAAAUUAUAAAACACAUAGUUGUAUUCAAAAUUGGAUUACUUCUUAAUUCGUUAAACCACCUAUGUCAAGAGCACAAUGCCUGAUCAAUUCUAGCACAUUGAGUCGAAUCUCGAGCUUCUAUAUCAUUUCCUUGAUGAGGAAAAGUAGUCCAAAAUGCUUGAACAAUUCCCUUCGUAUGAGUCUAAGCAUAAAUAGUGGAAAAAUAGACAAAAUUAAAUUUACAAGGAACCAUAGAAAAUUGUACCUCGUCUAUUCACCUCUCGUUUCAACUCUGGAAGAUGCUAACCAUGGGAUUAUUGUUAUGCCAAAGCAAAUAUUAAAAGAGGAUAAGACCAAGCAAAUCAAAGACAACAGGAAAUCCCUAAAAAGGAUACAAAAGAUAAGCAAAAAUUAGAGAGAAAGGUGAAUAGUAAUGGAGUAAUGGUAGAAGAUUGCUGCUAGAACUCGCCAUCAAUGGUAGAUCCGUAAUUGGUUGAGCAAAUUAAUGGUGAAAGAAAGCUAGUUGGAGGACUGAGCUGCAAAGAAUUCUAGAUGAAUUAUAUACACGUGUGUUACCAAAAUAAUAAAAAUUUAACUUAAAUCAGUAAUUUAAAUCAGUUAUAAAAUUACUGAAAU
rnacentral:lncRNA from 1 species